CCCUUAGAUGUUCUGGGCCGCACGCGCGCUACACUGACGAAUGCAACGAGCUUAUAACCUUGGCCGAAAGGUCUGGGUAAUCUCCAAAUUUCGUCGUGAUGGGGAUAGAUUAUUGCAAUUAUUAAUCUUUAACGAGGAAUGCCUAGUAAGCGCAAGUCAUCAGCUUGCGUUGAUUACGUCCCUGCCCUUUGUACACACCGCCCGUCGCUCCUACCGAUUGAAUGGUCCGGUGAAGCGCUCGGACCGCGGCCUCUUGACGGUUUUCCGUCGAUUGGCUGUGGGAAGUUCGUUAAACCUUAUCAUUUAGAGGAAGGAGAAGUCGUANCA
rnacentral:rRNA from 1 species